rnacentral:rRNA from 1 species
AUCGCUGGGUGCAACUUUAGAUGGAUUUGGAGAGCGAAAAUCCCUUUAAAGAUUCAGAUCUUUCUGUGGCAACUGUUUCAGGAUUCGGUCCUGACCAGAGAUGUCAUGAGCAGGCGUGGGUGGCUGGGUAGGCCGAUAUGUGCUUUCUGCAAUAAGAGAGAAACAUCUAAUCACCUUUUCUUUACCUGUCCAGUUGCUAGAGUCAUGUGGAGGACAGUUGGGUGUGUUUUUGGCACUGAUCGCUGCCCUAAUGAUCUGUGGCAGUACUUUGCCUGGUGCUACUAUUACCUUCCUGAUGGGGAAAAUUUUACACCUUUGGCUUGGUCGCUCUGUGCUGGACUAUGUGGAAUUGUCGUAACAAAAAAAUCUUUGAGUUCAAAGAACUAA